rnacentral:rRNA from 1 species
UACGGGGGGGGUAAGCGUUGUUCGGAAUUACUGGGCGUAAAGCGUGCGCAGGCGGUCUCUUAAGACAGGUGUGAAAUCCCCGGGCUUAACCUGGGAACUGCGCUUGUAACUGAGAGGCUUGAGUGCGGCAGAGGGGGGUGGAAUUCCACGUGUAGCAGUGAAAUGCGUAGAGAUGUGGAGGAACACCGAUGGCGAAGGCAGCCCCCUGGGUCGACACUGACGCUCAUGCACGAAAGCGUGGGGAGCAAACAGG